rnacentral:rRNA from 1 species
AACGAACGCUGGCGGCAUGCCUAACACAUGCAAGUCGAACGAGACCUUCGGGUCUAGUGGCGCACGGGUGCGUAACGCGUGGGAACCUGCCCUUAGGUUCGGAAUAACUCCCCGAAAGGGGUGCUAAUACCGGAUAAUGUCUUCGGACCAAAGAUUUAUCGCCUUUGGAUGGGCCCGCGUUGGAUUAGCUAGUUGGUAGGGUAAAAGCCUACUAAGGCGACGAUCCAUAGCUGGUCUGAGAGGAUGAUCAGCCACUCUGGGACUGAGACACGGCCCAGACUCCUACGGGAGGCAGCAGUGGGGAAUAGUGGACAAUGGGCGAAAGCCUGAUCCAGCAAUGCCGCGUGAGUGAUGAAGGCCUUAGGGUUGUAAAGCUCUUUUACCCGGGAUGAUAAUGACAGUACCGGGAGAAUAAGCUCCGGCUAACUCCGUG